rnacentral:lncRNA from 1 species
AUUGGCUUUAGUCCAAGUAAAAGUUGUUGAAAAAUAUAUCUUAAAGUCAAUCAUCUAGAUUGUAAAUGAUUGUGCUCUAUACAUGUAUAUGAAUUAUAAAAUGAUAAAUAUUAUCUAACAGAUUCAUCAUAACGAAUAUAUCUUCCUAAAUAGAACUCAUAUGUUAUGAUGAAGUCCUUAAAGCUACUUCCAAAAUGAUAAAAGAGGAUU